rnacentral:rRNA from 1 species
AAUUACAGAAGGAAGUUUUCGGAUGGAAUUUUGUAAUUUUAGUGGCGGACGGGUGAGUAACACGUGGGUAACCUGCCCUGUACCGGGGGAUAACAGUUGGAAACGGCUGUUAAUACCGCAUAAGCGCACAGCUUCGCAUGAAGCAGUGUGAAAAACUCCGGUGGUACAGGAUGGACCCGCGUCUGAUUAGCUUGUUGGCGGGGUAACAGCCCACCAAGGCGACGAUCAGUAGCCGGCCUGAGAGGGUGAACGGCCACAUUGGGACUGAGACACGGCCCAGACUCCUACGGGAGGCAGCAGUGGGGAAUAUUGGGCAAUGGGCGAAAGCCUGACCCAGCAACGCCGCGUGAAGGAUGAAGGUCUUCGGAUUGUAAACUUCUUUGAUUGGGGAAGAAUAAAAUGACCUACCCAAAGAACAAGCCACGGCUAACUACGUGCCAGCAGCCGCGGUAAUACGUAGGGGGCAAGCGUUAUCCGGAUUUACUGGGUGUAAAGGG